UGGGGAAUUUUGGACAAUGGGCGCAAGCCUGAUCCAGCCAUGCCGCGUGCGGGAAGAAGGCCUUCGGGUUGUAAACCGCUUUUGUCAGGGAAGAAAUCUUCUGAGUUAAUACCUCGGGAGGAUGACGGUACCUGAAGAAUAAGCACCGGCUAACUACGUGCCAGCAGCCGCGGUAAUACGUAGGGUGCAAGCGUUAAUCGGAAUUACUGGGCGUAAAGCGUGCGCAGGCGGUUUUGUAAGACAGAGGUGAAAUCCCCGGGCUCAACCUGGGAACUGCCUUUGUGACUGCAAGGCUUGAGUGCGGCAGAGGGGGAUGGAAUUCCGCGUGUAGCAGUGAAAUGCGUAGAUAUGCGGAGGAACACCGAUGGCGAAGGCAAUCCCCUGGGCCUGCACUGACGCUCAUGCACGAAAGCGUGGGGGGCAAAACAGGAUUAGAUACCCUGGGUAGUCCACGCCCUAAACGAUGUCAACUGGUUGUUGGGAAGGUUCCUUCUCAGUAACGUACUAACGCGUGAAGUUGGACCGCCUGGGGAGUACGGCCGCAAGGUUGAAACUU
rnacentral:rRNA from 1 species